rnacentral:rRNA from 1 species
UGAACGCUGGCGGCAGGCUUACACAUGCAAGUCGAGCGGGGAAGGUAGCUUGCUACCGGACCUAGCGGCGGACGGGUGAGUAAUGCUUAGGAAUCUGCCUAUUAGUGGGGGACAACAUCUCGAAAGGGAUGCUAAUACCGCAUACGUCCUACGGGAGAAAGCAGGGGAUCUUCGGACCUUGCGCUAAUAGAUGAGCCUAAGUCGGAUUAGCUAGUUGGUGGGGUAAAGGCCUACCAAGGCGACGAUCUGUAGCGGGUCUGAGAGGAUGAUCCGCCACACUGGGACUGAGACACGGCCCAGACUCCUACGGGAGGCAGCAGUGGGGAAUAUUGGACAAUGGGGGGAACCCUGAUCCAGCCAUGCCGCGUGUGUGAAGAAGGCCUUAUGGUUGUAAAGCACUUUAAGCGAGGAGGAGGCUACUCUAGUUAAUACCUAGAGAUAGUGGACGUACUCGCAGAAUAAGCACCGGCU